GAGUUUGAUCCUGGCUCAGAACGAACGCUGGCGGCGUGCCUAACACAUGCAAGUCGAACGUGAUCCAGAGCUUGCUCUGGUGAAAGUGGCGCACGGGUGAGUAACGCGUGGAUAACCUACCCUGGUAUCCGGGAUAACAUUCCGAAAGGGGUGCUAAUACCGGAUAAGCCCACGGGCUCUUUGGAGCUUGCGGGGAAAGGUGGCCUCUAUUUAUAAGCUACUGUAUCAGGAUGGGUCCGCGUACCAUUAGCUAGUUGGCGGUGUAACGGACCACCAAGGCGACGAUGGUUAGCUGGUCUGAGAGGAUGAUCAGCCACACUGGAACUGAGACACGGUCCAGACUCCUACGGGAGGCAGCAGUGGGGAAUUUUGCGCAAUGGGGGAAACCCUGACGCAGCAACGCCGCGUGAGUGAUGAAGGCCCUUGGGUCGUAAAGCUCUGUCAGAGGGGAAGAAAUGAUAUAGUGCUAAUACCACUUUAUCUUGACGGUACCCUCAAAGGAAGCACCGGCUAACUCCGUGCCAGCAGCCGCGGUAAUAC
rnacentral:rRNA from 1 species